UACGUAGGGGGCAAGCGUUGUCCGGAAUCAUUGGGCGUAAAGCGCGCGUAGGUGGCCCAGUAAGUCCGUUCUGAAAGUCACAGGCUCAACCUGUGAAAGCGGAUGGAUACUGCUGGGCUAGAGUCCGGAAGAGGCGAGUGGAAUUCCUGGUGUAGCGGUGGAAUGCGCAGAUAUCAGGAGGAACACCAACGGCGAAGGCAGCUCGCUGGGACGGUACUGACACUGAGGCGCGAAAGCGUGGGGAGCGAACAGG
rnacentral:rRNA from 1 species